UACGAAGGGUGCGAGCGUUGUUCGGAAUCACUGGGCGUAAAGGGCGCGUAGGCGGCCCUCUUAGUCGCGUGUGAAAGCCCCGGGCUCAACCUGGGAACGGCGCGCGAAACGGGAGGGCUGGAGUUCGGGAGAGGAGAGUGGAAUUCCCAGUGUAGAGGUGAAAUUCGUAGAUAUUGGGAAGAACACCGGUGGCGAAGGCGGCUCUCUGGACCGAGACUGACGCUGAGGCGCGAAAGCGUGGGGAGCAAACAGG
rnacentral:rRNA from 1 species